rnacentral:rRNA from 1 species
UACGUAGGGUGCAAGCGUUAUUCGGAAUUACUGGGCGUAAAGCGUGCGCAGGCGGUGAUGUAAGACAGGUGUGAAAUCCCCGGGCUUAACCUGGGAAUGGCAUUGGUGACUGUACGGCUAGAGUGUGUCAGAGGGGGGUAGAAUUCCUCGUGUAGCAGUGAAAUGCGUAGAGAUGUGGAGGAAUACCGAUGGCGAAGGCAGCCCCCUGGGAUAACACUGACGCUCAUGCACGAAAGCGUGGGGAGCAAACAGG